AAAAUUGAAAGCGCUAUCAAGGCGAUUCUUUGUAGAUCUCUCAAUUGGCACGAUGGAAUCAAUUGAUUUUUGCUAGAAUGUGGAUCAUGGGUAGGAGAAUCCAUUUCUCCAUCCCAAUCAACUCGAAUCAAACCAGGUUGGUCCAACUCAAACACGUAUGUUGAUGCUUACCAUCCAUCAUAGUUUUCUCUUAAAAAGCAUGAGCUCUAGGUUUGGGUGUUCAUGUUGACUGGGAAGGAAACUAAUGACUGGGAAGGAAACUAAGGAGAAGACUGUUGGGUCGGGGCAUUGGGUUUAAAAUGGGGAAUGAGUCUUUUUUUUUAAAUUCGGGUUAAUUUGAGUCAAUUUGGGGUUUUUCGUCAAAUGAGGGGUACAUAUGGUGAAAUUAGUAACGGCAGAGGUAAAACUAAUUUCGUUUUAACGGCAGGGGUAUAGUCAACUAAUAAACUAAAGUUGAGGGGUAUUUUUGACAUAGCUUUUUCCUUUUUCAUGCCUAAAAGGUGUGGGGGUCGGGUGUAGGGGAGGGGACCUUUUUUAUUAUUUUGUCUCUUACUCUUGAUUGAACAUUUAAUAAAAUUGAAACAAUACAAAAAAAUUAGCACAGCCUUGCAUAAAAUUAACAUGCGCAAAUUGACAAGUGGUCCAAAAAACAGAAAAGAGAAAGUGUUCAAGACAUACUCAUCCUUUUGGAAACAUAUGACAAAAUUGAACGAUACAGAAAAAAUUAACUAUGGUCUCUACAUAACGAUAACAUAUACAAAUCGAGAAAUGAUCCAAAUUUUUAGAGAGAUUAAAAAAAGAGGUGUCUAAAAUAUACCUGUCCAUUCAACAACACAAUAAAAUUGAAACAAUACAAACAAAAUUAGCAUGGUCCUAUGCAAGAAUAACACAUAUAGACAGAGGCGGAGCUAGGUGGGAGUUCAUGGGUCCGGACGAACCUAGUAGCUUUUCCGUAGACCCUACAUUUGUACUAGAAAAUUAAUUAAAUAUAUAUGUAUAUGAAUUUGUGAACCUCUAACAAAAUUGAUUAACGGUUAUUAACGAAAUAUAGAACCCCUAAACUCUUAAUCCUGACUUCGUCUCUGAUCCAAUUUUUUGUUAUAAAAAGGUCCAAAACAUACCCUACAUUUCCUUAUAAAGCAACUGAUCAUACAUACUUCAUGCAUCCAUCAACUCCCACGUUUUGGCUAGUAUUUUAUUUGUGAAGAAAUUGAUACAAGAGGUUGGCAAAAAUUAUGUCUACUAGAAGAAGGUCCCCUUUAAAAUUUACUCAAGAGGAGAUUAAUGAUCUUGUCUUGAAACUAGAAGCUUUGUUGCCAAAUUCCUCUUCAAGAUGCACCUCCACGGUACGUUUUCAAAUGAACUUUCUCAUACCAACAAAUGAAAAUUCGAGUUUAUUGGACAUUACUAAAAGAAAUCACUAGCUAUUUUUCCAUUCAAUUUUUUCACUCAAAAAUGUUUAUAAUGUCUAUUUGCUUAAAUAUUUAAUUUAGUUGACGAGAAAGGAAAAAAUAGGAAGUUUCCUACUAUUUUAGUAAAAAUCUUUGUUGUCCUUCGUAAAUUUUCCAAUGAACUGAUUUGGUAAAAAAUGAGCGAAAAAUUUAUAUUCUAUAACACAAAAAUUUCCACUGAUUUCACAGUGUAAAAAUAUCUUUAUUUCUAGUAGUAAGAUUAUAAUAUUAGGUUUAGAGAAAUGUCUAUCACAUAUAUAUUAAUCACAAGUGUUAAAGAUCAAUGCGUUAUCUUAAAUCUUGGGUUCAUAUCAGAAAUAUCUUUAUAUAAUUUGGGACAAAAGAUGGUAAGUUUGUGUGUGAUCAUAAAUUUCCAAAUAAUUUUGAGAAAUUAAAAGUUUGAAUUGGAGUUUUAACAUGCGUUUAAGCAUAGUUUUUAGAAAUACAUAUCACUUUUUUUAUAAAACAAAUAAUAAUAUGAAAAAUGAUUUAUACUAAUAAGUAAGUUCUAAAAGCUAAAUAGAAAAAGUAUCCAUAAAUUUUAACACAAAAUUAUUACUUUUAUACUGAACUAGAUAAUAUAUCAUACAAAAAUUGUACUACGAUAUUUUAGUAAACACAAUAGUAACACGAUUAUCAACUAAUACAAUACGUCAAAUGACAAUCAGUUACAAAGAUCAAUGGUACAAAAUUUUUUUUAGCUAUUUUUUAAUAUAAUCUUCCACUUGAUACGAACAAAUUCUUCAUUGCGAGCGUACAUUUCCAAAUCAUGAGUGUGUUUAAUGAGUGAAAAGAGUAGAUUGAAUUAGUUGGAAUCUAUGAGUGAAAAGAGUAGAUUGAAUUAGUUGGAAUCGUAAAUAGAUGAAUAUAUAGAGAUAAAAGUUUGAAAUUAUAAAAUUAUAAAAGAACUCCACAACUAUAUUUUGAUCCAAAAGACAUAUUUUUGUAGAUUUUGGAAAUUUGCAUUUUUGAUAAUUCAUUUGAUGAACAUGUAGGUAGCAACGUCAAAGAUAUUGGAGGAGACAUGCAAUUACAUCAAAUAUUGAAUAAAAAGGUGGAUGAUAUCUCUCUAAAACUAGCUUCCAUUGAUGGAGAGGCCUUUACAAUUCUUCUUCAACAACUAGCACAAAACCCAGAUGAAAACUAGACAACACUGAGUGACAAAUGUUGUAUUCGAGUUAAUGGUCAAAUAUAUAUCUAAUGUGUUUUGAUCUUUUGAGUAUUAUAUCUAAAUUACCAGGUAUGUGAAUUUUCUACCUGAAAUAUCAUCAUCUAUUUAUCAAAAUACACCAC
rnacentral:lncRNA from 1 species